UUCUAGUGCAAUCUGGAAACUGAUGUAUUAAUCUUUUUAGUUUCUAUUUAUUUAUUUGUAUCUCAAAGAAAAUGGGAAGGUUUUUUCUUUAUGUUCAAGCUAAAAACACUCACAAUAUUUGAAAUAUAGGAGUAUGUAGGGAAGGUUAUGAGUGUCAGGGAAAAGAUAGGAAGAAAGGUUUUGGAUGUUUUGAAGAUUGUUGAGGAAGCUGUCAAAAUACAGAUGCCUUUUUUCUUUGAAACUAGCUGGAGAUUUACAUGGAGCAAUUGGGACAUUGUCUUUUCAAAUUUUUGUAGAUAGUG
rnacentral:lncRNA from 1 species